rnacentral:tRNA from 1 species
GCGGGCGUGGUGGAACUGGUAGACGCGCCGGACUCAAAAUCCGGUUCCGCAAGGAGUGUCGGUUCGAGCCCGACCGCCCGCACCA